CCCCUGGGCCUUCAAGCAUUUCCUACGAAGCCGUUACAGAGGAAAAGCUUCACUUGGACCACUCAGUUGAAGAUCUGCUUGAGGUCAUGCAGGGUAAACCACAGCAAAGUGAAUCCGAGAUGCAAGCCCCUGGACCUUCAAGCAUUUGCCACGAAGCCGUGACAGAGGGAGAGCUUCACUUGGACCACUCAUUUGAAGAUCUGUUUGAGGUUGUCCAAGAGUACCCACAGCAAAGUACGCCUGAAAUGCAAGCCCCUGGACCCUUCAAGCAUUUGCCACGAAGCCGUGACAGAGGAAGAGCUUGACUUGGACCACUCAGUUGAAGAUGUG